GAGGGAAUAGUUCAAUGGUAGAGUGCAUGCACGAGGUUCUGGGUUCAAUCCCCAGUACCUCCA
rnacentral:tRNA from 1 species